rnacentral:misc_RNA from 1 species
GAAAUGCGAUAACUAGUGUGAAUUGCAGAAUUCCGUGAAUCAUCGAGUCUUUGAACGCACAUUGCGCCCCCUGGUAUUCCGGGGGGCAUGCCUGUCCGAGCGUCAUUGCUGCCCAUCAGGCACGGCUUGUGUGUUGGGUCGUCGUCCCCUCUCCGGGGGGGACGGGCCCCAAGGGCAGCGGCGGCACCGCGUCCGAUCCUCGAGCGUAUGGGGCUUUGUCACCCGCUCUGUAGGCCCGGCCGGCGCUUGCCGAACGCAAAUCAAUCUUUUUCCAGGUUGACCUCGGAUCAGGUAGGGAUACCCGCUGAACUUAAGC